rnacentral:rRNA from 1 species
GACGGAGGAUGCAAGCGUUAUCCGGAAUUAUUGGGCGUAAAGCGUCCGCAGGUGGCUGUUCAAGUCUGCUGUCAAAGCGCAGAGCUUAACUCUGUACAGGCGGUGGAAACUGAAGAGCUAGAGUAUGGUAGGGGUAGAGGGAAUUCCCGGUGUAGCGGUGAAAUGCGUAGAUAUCGGGAAGAACACCAGUGGCGAAAGCGCUCUACUGGGCCAUAACUGACAC